rnacentral:rRNA from 1 species
GACGAACGCUGGCGGCGUGCUUAACACAUGCAAGUCGAACGAAGUGGCGAACGGGUGAGUAACGCGUAAUCAACCUGCCCUUCAGAGGGGGACACCAGUUGGAAACGACUGCUAAUACCGAAUACUGAAGGAGGGGCUUGUGUCUGAUUAGCUAGUUGGAGGGGUAACGGCCCACCAAGGCGAAGAUCAGUAGCCGGUCUGAGGAGAGGAACGGCCACAAGGGGACUGGGGAAAGGGCCAUACUCCUACGGGAGGCAGGAGUGGGGAAUCAUCCGCAAUGGGCGAAAGGCUGACGAAGCAAAGCCGCGGGGGUGAUGGAGGCCUUCGGGGUGGAAAGCUCUGUUAAUCGGGACGCGGUACCGGAAUAGAAAGCCACGGCUAACUACGUGCCAGCAGCCGCGGUAAUAC